UAACCUGCCCAAGAGAUCGGGAUAACACCUGGAAACAGAUGCUAAUACCGGAUAACAAUAGAUGAUGCCUAUCAACUGUUUAAAAGAUGGUUCUGCUAUCACUCUUGGAUGGACCUGCGGUGCAUUAGCUAGUUGGUAGGGUAACGGCCUACCAAGGCGAUGAUGCAUAGCCGAGUUGAGAGACUGAUCGGCCACAUUGGGACUGAGACACGGCCCAAACUCCUACGGGAGGCAGCAGAC
rnacentral:rRNA from 1 species